UCUGUGCAGGGAUUUAAUAGGGAUCCUGAUAGGAGAUACAGUACCAUAGUAGCAGAGCAAUCCUGUACUGAACCAUGUCCUGGGCUGUCCUCCUCCUCUCUCUCACCUCUCUCUGUACAUAUUCAGCCGCCCAAGUCUCUCUUACUCAGCCAGUGUCUGAAUCAGUGAAAUUGGGGGAGACAGUGAGAAUCUCCUGCACACUCAGUGGUUACAGUAUCAGUGAUCGCUAUGUGUACUGGUACCAGCAGAAAGCAGGGAAUCGCCCCAGAUACUUACUGUGGUUUAAGUCUGACUCAAGCAAACACCAGGGAGAUGGGGUACCUGAUCGGUUCUCUGGAUCCAAAGAUUCCCCUAAUAAUGUUGGCUAUUUAACCAUUAAAGGAGCCUUACUAGAAGAUGAUGCAGAUUAUUACUGUGCUAUAUGGUAUUCCAGCUCGUUGCACAGUGGUGUAUUGCUGUGAGGAACUGAAACAAAUGUUCAGAUAAUUUUUUUUCAACUUUCAUUUAAUGCAGCAAUACAUUACAGAAGGUUCCAUUGAUGUUUU